rnacentral:rRNA from 1 species
UACGAAGGGGACUAGCGUUGUUCGGAAUUACUGGGCGUAAAGCGCACGUAGGCGGAUUUGUAAGUCAGGGGUGAAAUCCCGGGGCUCAACCUCGGAACUGCCUUUGAUACUGCAAAUCUCGAGUCCGAUAGAGGUGGGUGGAAUUCCUAGUGUAGAGGUGAAAUUCGUAGAUAUCAGGAAGAACACCCGUGGCGAAGGCGGCUCUCUGGGACGGUACUGACGCUGAGACGCGAAAGCGUGGGGAGCGAACAGG